rnacentral:rRNA from 1 species
UACAGAGGGGGCAAGCGUUAUUCGGAAUUAUUGGGCGUAAAGGGCGCGUAGGCGGCUUUGCAAGUGACGGGUGAAAUCCCUCGGCUUAACCGAGGAACUGCCUGUCAGACUGUGAGGCUUGAGACCGGGAGAGGUGAGUGGAAUUCCCAGUGUAGCGGUGAAAUGCGUAGAUAUUGGGAGGAACUCCAGUGGCGAAGGCGGCUCACUGGACCGGAACUGACGCUGAGGCGCGAAAGCGUGGGGAGCAAACAGG